rnacentral:rRNA from 1 species
GACGAACGCUGGCGGCGUGCUUAACACAUGCAAGUCGAACGAUGAAGUCGGAGCUUGCUCUGGUGAAUUAGUGGCGAACGGGUGAGUAACACGUGAGUAACCUGCCCUUGACUCUGGGAUAACUGCGGGAAACUGUAGCUAAUACCGGAUACGACCCUCGGAGGCAUCUCCUGGGGGUGGAAAGAAUUUCGGUCAAGGAUGGACUCGCGGCCUAUCAGCUAGUUGGGGAGGUAAAGGCUCACCAUGGCGACGACGGGUAGCCGGCCUGAGAGGGGGACCGGCCACACUGGGACUGACACACGGCCCAGACUCCUACGGGAGGCAGCAGUGGGGAAUAUUGCACAAUGGGCGCAAGCCUGAUGCAGCACCGCCGCGUGAGGGAUGACGGCCUUCGGGUUGUAAACCUCUUUUAGCAGGGAAGAAGCGAAAGUGACGGUACCUGCAGAAAAAGCACCGGCUAACUACGUGCCAGCCGCCGCAGUAA